rnacentral:lncRNA from 1 species
UUGUAUUGUAUUAUGUUGUUAGUUUAAAUGGAAAUGGGCCAAAAAAUACCCUUAGUUUUUUUGUCUCAAAAACACAUGUCCAUUAAAUAUUUGGCUAAAACAUAACCCCUCUUUAACGAAAUGCUACCAAGCACGCCACAUGAAGUAAAAUUGCUACAUGACAAGUCUGCGUGGAAAAUCACCUUUUUAAAUACAUUUUACACAAACAGGUACUAAUGACCGCAAUAACCGAUUACCUCUCAUCCUAAUAUUCAUUAUAUAUAUAUAGGACUGAUUUGUUAUUUCUAUAUCCUAAAUUAUCAUUUCUCUCUAAACAGUUUUUAAAAUGUUCUAUACAUUCUUCUAUUUUCAUGUCGUCUUUUUGACACCCUUUACAUUUAAAAGUUAUAUAUUUAUAUUCUUCUGCUAAGUUUUCA